rnacentral:tRNA from 1 species
ACGCGUCGUUCGUGACGGGCGCGACGCUGGUCGCGGACGGCGGCGCCACCGUCGUGGACGUGCCGACGCUCGCGUUCGACGCGCGAUGACGCGAC